rnacentral:rRNA from 1 species
UACGAAGGGGCUAGCGUUGCUCGGAUUUACUGGGCGUAAAGGGCGCGUAGGCGGACAGUUAAGUUGGGGGUGAAAGCCCGGGGCUCAACCUCGGAAAUUGCCUUCAAUACUGGCUGUCUUGAGUGUGAGAGAGGUGUGUGGAACUCCGAGUGUAGAGGUGAAAUUCGUAGAUAUUCGGAAGAACACCAGUGGCGAAGGCGACACACUGGCUCACUACUGACGCUGAGGCGCGAAAGCGUGGGGAGCAAACAGG